rnacentral:misc_RNA from 1 species
GGAUCCUUGACCAUUGCGGGUCUACAUUUAACCGUGUUCACUAAGAUGAGUUUCUUUACUGAUAAGAAGGAGGUUCAGAGGUCUGCAACUGCUCUGGGAUAUGUUGCACAUGUGGUCACACUUAUUGCAUCUUAUUUACAAGUUCCUCUUCGUUAUCCCUUGAGGUUUGGAGGAUCUCGAUCAUAUAUCCGUGAUUAUGCUCCUUCAGUAGAGCCAUCAUCAUCUGAUUUAACAUCUAGUUCCGCAGUUUCCACAAAUUCACGACCCGUGGAAUUUCCUCUAUUUUUAGAAGGCCAAGACUCAACAAGAGCGGCGUAUGCUGUUUUCUUGCUGAAUAAGGAUAUAGAACAACUUCUUAAUUAUAUUGGAGGCAGAAGUACAGGGCCAAGACAUGUACUAGCUAAUUUGAAAGAGCUUCUUAGAAUAAUACUUUCUCCAGAGUAUAUAGACACAUCAUUAUGAGAUUUAUGUAAAUGUAGAUCAUUGUUAUUUUUUUAUACAGGUGCUAAAUUUUCACUUAAAGCACCUUGCUUU